UUCCCAUUAGUUUCUAUGGACGAAAAGAGCAGAUACAGAUUAAAUGGUUUUCAAUGCAUUUCUAUGGGAAAUGCAGAUUCGACUUAAGAACUUUUCGACUUGAGAACUUCCUUCCAAUACGGAUUAAGUUCGUAAGUCGAGACCCCACUGUAUUUUUCGUGUGCAGGUCUGGAGCACCGAUCAACGGUUUACAGCACAGAUGGCUGAGUUUGUGGUUAAUAUCGGCUAAACCACAGAUAUCCUGUGUAUUUCGUUUCCUCUUGAAAUGUAACGCUUGCUAUUAAAUUAGAAUAACCCAGGGCGGGGGACCUGCUCAAAUGUAAUACUUAGAAAAACCAGCCCCUCUUGAACUCCUAUAGGUAGAAGACUCUGUAGUCAAGCCCCCUUACCUAAUUGUCUGCCAAUAGAUAUUUUUGUAACCUUAUUUCCUUGUGGUUAGAAGUAAUAAAAGUUCUUUGCAUUGUUUGAUCGGGGUCCCUCGUGUCUGGGGGACCCGAGUGGCCAUUCGAAAUAAACAGCGCUUGUUCUCUCUUGAGUCUGUGUAUGGUCAAAUCUCAUGCUUGCUGGUACAAGAGUGUUUUAACACUUCCAGAUUUCUUAUAUCUGGCUCACAGACUGCAGCAUGUAGAUGUACCAUGUACUCAAGAGCCAAUGACUAUUUAGAAUGUUCAUAUUUGUGAAAUUGAUAUUUUAUUCAAUAUUUCAUCCUGUUUCCAUAUGUCUGAUGAAGUGGAUGUGUCUAUGAAAGCUUACAUUAAAAUACAGCAAUUAGUCUUUAAGGCGCCACAUGCUUUUGUCCUUUUUUGUUUUGUUUCUUUGGAUUUUGUCUAAUAUGCCUGCACAGACUAACACAGCUACGUCUUCCAAACCUAUUUAGAUAAGGUUAUUGUUAGAAUGUUGCUUGUUAAUUGGCCCAUAUAAGCUAUAUGGCUUGUGCAAAAGGAAAGUAUGACAGACUUAGCAACAGGAAGAGUGUGCUUCCUGACUUGUUAUCCUCUUUUCCUGCGAAGCUGUUUUUACCAGUAAAAACAAACUUAUUUUCUUUAAGCAGCUUUGUUACUGCUUCUCUGCUUCACUGGGAGAAAGGCCCUUCAGCAUCCACUGUUUACAACGCUAGUCCACAAGAUAUCACAAUAAAGAGGAGGAGAAGGAAAAAAACGUUGGAGGAAGCAGAAGAAAACAAUCAAAAGAAAAAAGCAACAUCUGUGGAGAAAGAUAAGAGGAGGCAGGAAUGGAGAGAAGCAAAGCCACAGAGGAAGGUCAGCCAGGCAAGAGUGAAAUGAAGAAAGAAACAUCACAACCUUGAACCAGUGGAGACUGGCAAAGCCUUUGAGCACACAGGCCAACAACAGCUACCUGAAGGAUUAAGAAAACAACUGCCAUUCUCCCAUUCAUAUUUGUAUAUCUGUAUACUUAACAGUUUUAGCUUUUAAAUACUGUUUAGUAAUGUAAGCCACCUUGGGUCCUUUUGGGGAGAAAGGGGCACACAAACAAACAGAGCAAACUGAAAUUAUAUUUGCAAUUGACUGCUAUCAACAGCUAGAGUUGUCCAUAUUUGCUUUACAAACUUUAGCUUGUUGUUCAGCAUUACUGUUUACUGGAGGUUCUAAAAUAUAGUUAUGUAGUUACCUGUGGGUCUCUUGCAUGACUGUAGCUUGCAACUCUUCCUCCUCUGUAGAAAAACCUGCCAUGUUAUGUACAUUUAUGUUUGUUAUAAAAUGCCAUGUUAACCCCAUUUUAUUUAUUUAUUCUACUUAUAUCCCGCCUAUCUGGUCUUGCGACCACUCUAGGUGGCUUACAGACACAUAAAACAACAAGUAAAUAUAACAAAAGAAAUUAUUACAUUAAAUGACCAUUGGUCAUAAGGGGGAAGAAUGAAACCCAGAUCAAGGAAAUGCCUUUACAAGGACUGCUAUAAAACUUUUAAAAAUCAGUUGUUUGUAUGCCUCUUAGCGCCUUAUUCCUGCAUGCUUUAUUGCUUACUGUGUACUGCACUGGCCUGACAAAACAAGAUGCCUGGCUGGGAUGUCCCUUCAAGGAAACUCACCAGCUGUAUCAGCCUAGCAACAAAAUAUAGCUCAACAGUUACAGUUGCCUUGUCUGAUUCCUCUCACCUUAUUUCCUUUUAAGGUCAUCGUUUGAAAACUGCUUGUUAAUUGGUACUCGUAAGCCUUUGCCUUUGAUAAGAAAGUGUAUAAAAGACUCCAGAACUGCAUCAUAAGUGUGUUUCCUCUGUACACUCUUGACGGUGUUUUGUCCGUGCUGUGAUUGUUCCUGUUUUUUACUGGUAAAAAUAAAUAUUCUCUCUUCAGGCUCA
ensembl:lncRNA